rnacentral:rRNA from 1 species
CGUAGGGGCCAAGCGUUGUUCGGAUUUACUGGGCGUAAAGGGCGCGUAGGCGGCGAAUCAAGUCAGCUGUGAAAUCUCCGAGCUUAACUCGGAACGGUCAGCUGAUACUGUUUUGCUAGAGUGCAGAAAGGGCAACCGGAAUUCUUGGUGUAGCGGUGAAAUGCGUAGAUAUCAAGAGGAACACCUGAGGCGAAGGCGGGUUGCUAGGCUGACACUGACGCUGAAGCGCGAAAGCUAGGGUAGCAAACGGGAUUAGAUACCCCGGUAGUCCUAGCCCUAAACGAUGUAUGCUUGGUGUCUGGAGUUUUUAUCUCUGGGUGCCGUCGCUAACGCUUUAGCAUACCGCCUGGGGAGUACGCACGCAAGUGUG